UUUUAUAUUUUCAUUUUUUUAUUAAUUCAUUUGUUUAUUUAUUUAGUUAGUUUUAGCUACCACGUAAUGUCAGUACCCCAGACGCUUGAUGUACGCAUUUUGUGACAAACAUACGUAAAAUAAAUACCUCUAUAGGUGUGUAAUGCUUUGUUUUAUCAAUAAAAUAAAAUCAUGGCUGGUGCGGGAGAACCGAACCUGUCGGCCACUCGUCAGAGUCCUGUCCAAGUUGCACAGUUGCGUGUGUUGCUGCCAUUCCAGUCUGAAAUGCUAGGUAGUUAAGUUAAACAAUAUUGUACUACCUUUUUCAUUGGAUACUGUUAUCAUUAGUAAUUUCACAGACGCGACGUACGUUUCUGGACAUUUUGUAAUAUGCUUGAAAUAAUGGCACACAUUUUCAUGACAUGCUUACCGCUGUGAAUGACUGACAGUGGAAUAUGGAUGGACCGAGCAUGGGUAGAGAGAUACGCGUCACGCGAAUACGUGUCUCAUACCAGUAGCGGACAAGGCAUAACCACGAUCAAGUCCUCGCAGUCGCCUCACUACCUCAGUGACUCAGUCGCCUGCCUCAGCUUCUCAAGUGUAAACCCGCCUCGGUACGUCGAUAAUUUUGCUCGUAGCUACGCUUACUUCACGUACAUGUCGCAAUUCGAUGGUUGCCUAGCUUUCUACAAGCAACAAUGAGCAAAAAGUACGCACAACAUUUUAGAGCAGAGUGGUUAAAAGACCCAAAUUAUGAGAAAUGGUUGCGGAGAGUAGAAGGUGAUGAUACGAAAUGUGUUUGUAAGUACUGUCAUUGCACACUGUCUGCAAAACGUAGUGACAUUGAUAGACACAGACAGACAUUAAAACAUAAGAAAGCAGAGAAACCUUUCAGUACCGAAAGACAAGGCACAAUACCAUUUGAAAAAGUGAGUAGUGACACACAUGUGACUGAAGGAAAUGUAUCCCUAUUCAUUGCAGAACACUGUUCAUUACGUGUUGUUGAUCACCUCAGUGAGCUGUGCAAAGUAAGAUUUGCAGAUAGUAAGGGAUGCAAGGAUUUCAAGCUAAAGAGGACAAAGUGCAGUGCUAUUGUGUGCAACGUGCUUGCUCCACACUUCAGCAGUGAUUUGAAAGAUGACAUUGGUGAUCAAAAGUUCAGUCUCUUAAUUGAUGAGAGUAAUGACAUUACAGUAACCAAGCUACUAGGAAUUGCUAUUAGAUUUUACUCAAGAAGUAAGAAAAAAAUUGUAGUGACAUUUUUGGACCUUGUUGAACUCCCAGACUGUGAUUCUACUGGAAUAUGUGAUGCCUUGAAAAGAUCCUUGAAAAAUAAUGGACUGGAGUUACAAAAGCUCACUGCUAUAGGGACUGAUAAUGCUUCUGUUAUGACGGGAGUUAACAGUGGAGUGUAUGCAAAACUCAAAACAGAAGUUCCUCAUCUCAUCCUUAUUAAGUGUGUCUGCCAUUCUUUGCAGUUAGCUGUGUCUCAUGCAACAGCUCAGUGCCUCCCUAGAAACCUAGACUUUUUGAUUAAAGAGACUUAUAAUUGGUUUUCCCACUCUGCUAUCCGCCAAGCUAGAUACAAGGAAAUAUUUUCUCUGAUAAAUGAUGGUCAAGCUCCACUUAAAUUAAUUCACCUGAGCCAGACUCGAUGGCUUUCAGUUGAAUCGGCAAUAGUCAGAAUUUUGCAACAAUGGCUUGAACUUAAGACUCACUUUGGCAUGGCAAGACAUGGUGAAAAGUGUUACACAGCUGAGAUCCUGUAUGGAAUGUUUUGUGACAAGGAAAACUAUGCAUUCCUUGUAUUUCUGAAACAUAUUCUGGGAGAAGUUCAGCGAGUUAAUAAGAAAUUUGAAGCAGAGGUACAAGAUCCAACGAAACUACUGAGUGACCUUCUUCAUCUUAUUGAUUCUAUGAAGUCAAAGGUCCUCAUCCCAGGUAAAACAUUAAAGGCAGGGAGUUGAUUGAAAGCUACUUGGACCCACGUCCUUACUUGGGAUAUGAGUUUGAAAAGGAGAUGUCAGAAUGCAAAUUUCCUCAUGAAAACAAAUAAGACAAAGAUGUGUAAGUUUUGUUGUGGAGCUAAUCAAACAGCUUGAGCAACGUCUGCCUGACAAUGUUCAAGUCUUGCAGUCAAUGUCCUUACUGAGUGCAGGUGAAUGCUUGCAACCCAUAAAGCCUGGAAUAAUAGAUCUAGCAAAGAUGUUCACUGAGAGUGAUGAAAUUUUGACACGAAUUGACUUCCAGUGGAGAAAUCUACAUAAAAUACUGUGGAAGAAAAAUACUGACACAUCAGAACUCUGGGCUGAAAUAUCUUCGCACACAGAUGCAACUGGAGAAAACCCCUUCAGUGAUCUUGCAGAAUUGGCUUUGACUGUCCUAACACUACCUCACUCGAAUGCAGAUGUGGAACGCAUCUUCAGUCACAUGAAUAUCGUGAAGUCAAAGCUACGAAAUCGGCUGAGUAUCAAAAGCUUAAAUGCGUUGCUGACUAUUAGAUAUGGACUACGAAGAAAUGGAAGCUGCUGCUAUGAUUACAAACUGCCUAAGGAAGUACUUCAAAGUAUUGGAACACUUAAAGCAUACGAGUCAUCACAAUCUCCAGCAGGAUGCUCACACACAACCACAGCAGAGUGCCGCCACAGACGAAGAGAUUGGAGACUGGGAGCUGGCAGAUUUGGAGUAAAAAUCCUGGCAGCGCUGGUGUUGUCCACGCUGGCGGCGGUGGGAGUGACUUUACCGCGGCCGCAGGAAGGGCAACAUGACGAUUACGAUGGUCCAUGGCCCGUCAUUCCCUACGAAUAUGCUUUCGAGAUCUCCGACGAGGCCAGCCUGACGUAUUACAGCCGUACAGAAACGAAGCUACCAAAUGGCGAUGUUUUCGGGUCCUGGGCUGUGCUGCUUCCCAAUGACGAUAUCCAGACGGUGGUGUACAAUGUUACAGAUGGGCGAGGCUUCAAACACACCAUCACUUACUCCCCUGCAGAGGAGUUUGGUCUUUAUAGAUAAGGAUGCUCUCUCUCUCUCUCUCUCUCUCUCUCUCUCUCUCUCUCUCUCUCUUAAUAGGUCUAGUUAUUUAUUCGCGUGUAUAUAUUCGUUACUCAUUGCCGUGUUUCUUAAGUCUUCAUCGUUCUUCCUCCUCUCGUAUCUGCUAUUCCAGUGAUAUUUCUUACAUCUUACCCCUUCAAUACUGCGAUUUUUACCUGAUUUUUGGGUAUGACUAAACGAUUUUAUAUGCAUUAGGAAGAGUCUAUGGAGGUCAAAAGAUUAACGGCCAGAGUCUUCACUAUUUUAAUCCCCACACAAGUUUCUGAAGCUGUAUAAAAUCACCAAAUAGUACGCAGAAUGAAUAUAGAAACGUGGCAUGGUACUGAAGGGGUUAAUGUGUUACAGAAUCAAUGACUAUUUUCCUUUCCUAUACUAAGCCACACUUUUCUAUUCAUAUACAGUAAUGCCUCUAUUCUUUCUUCUAAACUUCUCUUCUUUAACGGGUGGAAGCUAAUUCAAAGGGAAGUUUUAUUACACACACACACACACACACACACACACACACACACACACACACACACACACACACACACACACACCAUUCACUUCAUUUCAUUUUCAUAUUUUUUUCUGUAAUUCACCCCUUGUACUUCAGUAAAUUCCCCCACCCCCUUUUUUCUCUCUCUCUCUCAAACAACACAUACAAAAAAAAAAAAUUCCCUCACUACUCAGCCUCCAUAUAGGUCACCUGGGUCAGUGUUUUAUUCCCACUUGUGUGGUGUGUUACUUUCUACACCUGGGGUUGUUCAAUUUAAGACAUGGUGGAACUCAACUGACAAUCACUUUUAUCUCACAAUGCAAGACAUCUACAGGUCAUCCUUUCACUUUCUAUGCUUCCCUCUCUACUCCUUUCAUUUCUAGCGAUCACAGUCCAGUUUAAUGGAAUGAGUUUCAUUUUGAGUCUGGCUUGAAGAUCUAUUUGCUUCUUGUGACCUAAUUAGAGUUGUGUGUGGAUUCUGCUGUUGUUGUUGUUGUUAUUGUUGCUGUUGUUAUGUUGUGAUCAAUGUAUCAUCAGUCCUGGUUGACUGUCUUUAGAAGCAUUUAUGUUUUGUUUCUCAUAUAUAUAUAUAUAUAUAUAUAUAUAUAUAUAUAUAUAUAUAUAUAUAUAUAUAUAUAUAUAUAUAUAUAUAUAUAUUAGUAUUGUUAAAUGUUUACAGAUUUAUAUACCUAAUUUAAAUAAAAUUGUGCCAGUUCUACUUUGUGUUUCAACACAGAGACAACUUGAAUGGGUAAUUUUACUGCAAACAAAAUGUCAAGUAAAGAAUUUAAGUCAAUUCUUUUAUAUCAAACUUUUUAAUUUAAUAAGAGCAGUGUAUCAAGCAAACAUCUUAUCAACAUUUCAUACUGAAGUAUCUCUAUUUCUUGACCAGACAAGGCCCAAAAUAAAUUUACUA
rnacentral:misc_RNA from 1 species